GAAACCAGGAUUAGAUACCCUGGUAUUCUGAUCCAGAAAAAUUACCGUGCUAUUAAAAGAUAAAGGCUUUAAAAUUAAAGAAUCUGGCGGUAAUGUCAACCAAAUUAGAGGAACCUGUCCUGUGAGCGAUAAUCCGCGAUUAAUCUUACUUUGUUUAGUAUUGCUUCUUUUAAUUAUUCUAUAAGGAUAAUUAUAUAUUAGAUCAGCCGGUAUACCGCCAUUUUGAAGUGAUUUCUGAAGAGAUUACUGUAAAAUUUGAUUUUUAUAAAAUAAAACAAGACAAGUAUAGGCCAAAAAAGCCAAAGCCAAUAAGAGCUUUUGAUAAGUUUAUAUUUAGAAAAUUAGGUCCAGGUGCCGCCAAUAACAAGAGUAGAGAUGGGUUACAAUUUUAUUGAAGAUAAAUAUAAUUAACGGAUGAAGUUUGAAAAACUAUCUGAAGCCGGAUUUAACAGUAAUAUAAAUUUAAUACGUUUAUAUGAAGAUGAACUGAAUUACGUACACAUCGCCCGUCG
rnacentral:rRNA from 1 species